GACAGAGGUUGCAAACGUUGUUCGGAAUUACUGGGCAUAAAGCGCACGUAGGCGGUUCGUUAAGUCAUGUGUGAAAUCCCCCGGCUCAACCGGGGAAUUGCGCCUGAUACUGGCGGGCUAGAGAUCGAUAGGGGUGAGUGGAACUCCAGGUGGAGCGGUGAAAUGCGUAGAUAUCUGGAGGAACACCGGUGGCGAAAGCGGCUCACUGGAUCGAUACUGACGCUGAGGUGCGAAAGCUAGGGUAGCAAACGGG
rnacentral:rRNA from 1 species